CUCCUGUCUACUCCCCCAGCACCCAGAUGCUGUAACAAAAUUCCUGAACAGGAUGCAAAAGUGUUUCAGCUGAGCCUUGAGAGGUGAACGUACCUUGGCACCUGUCCCCUGGAUGGGACAACUUGAGGAAGGGCCAUCCAUAUUCCUGUUCCCUACCCAGGACACUGCUAAUGUGCAUAUGAGGAGAACACAAGACCCCAACCUGCUGCAGGAUGGAGAGCAGAGACAACUGAAGCCUUCUCCAUAACACUUGUGCAUUCCUUCUGCAGGCUUCAAAAGACUAAUCUGUGAUUUUAGACACAGGACAGGAGGAGACUGAGAGGUGAACGCUAGCUAAGCCUGCGUCUUCUACCAGGGCAGUGACCUGCAAAUGAUGUUCCACUGACUAGAUUUUUGGAUAGUAAUUGUUGUAGUCCAAGAGACUCUUUGACAAGACAAGAGUGUGUACAUUUGGAGCAUUCUGGGGACAUAAUUUUGAUAGUAAUAUAAUUUUCUGUAAC
rnacentral:lncRNA from 1 species